GCCAUUGUGGUGCAGUGGUUUGAGUGUUAGACUUUAUGACUCUGGAGACCAGGGUUCAAAUCCCCACUCAGCCA